UACGUAGGGGGCUAGCGUUGUCCGGAAUCAUUGGGCGUAAAGGGCGCGCAGGCGGCCCGGAAAGUCGGAUGUGAAAACUCGGGGCUCAACCCCGAGCGUGCACCCGAUACUGCCGGGCUUGAGGCAGGUAGGGGAGAUCGGAAUUCCUGGUGUAGCGGUGAAAUGCGCAGAUAUCAGGAGGAACACCGGUGGCGAAGGCGGAUCUCUGGGCCUGUCCUGACGCUGAGGCGCGAAAGCUAGGGGAGCGAACAGG
rnacentral:rRNA from 1 species